rnacentral:rRNA from 1 species
CCUUAGAGUUUGAUCCUGGCUCAGGAUGAACUCUGGCGGUGUGCUUAACACAUGCAAGUCGAACGGAACUCAUUGGAUCAAGACUUCGGUCAAGUGAAUUUGAGUUUAGUGGCGGACGGGUGAGUAACGCGUGAGGAACCUGCCUCGGAGUGGGGAAUAACAGUUAGAAAUGACUGCUAAUACCGCAUAAUGCAUUUGGAUCGCAUGGUCUGAAUGCCAAAGAUUUAUCGCUCUGAGAUGGCCUCGCGUCUGAUUAGCUAGUUGGCGGGGUAACGGCCCACCAAGGCGACGAUCAGUAGCCGGACUGAGAGGUUGGCCGGCCACAUUGGGACUGAGACACGGCCCAGACUCCUACGGGAGGCAGCAGUGGGGAAUAUUGGGCAAUGGGCGCAAGCCUGACCCAGCAACGCCGCGUGAAGGAAGAAGGCUUUCGGGUUGUAAACUUCUUUUAGCAGGGACGAAGAACGUGACGGUACCUGCAGAAAAAGCAACGGCUAACUACGUGCCAGCAGCCGCGGUAAUACGUAGGUUGCAAGCGUUGUCCGGAUUUACUGGGUGUAAAGGGCGUGUAGGCGGAGCUGCAAGAUCAGAUGUGAAAUCCCGGGGCUCAACCCCGGAACUGCAUUUGAAACUGUAGCCCUUGAGUAUCGGAGAGGCAAGCGGAAUUCUUAGUGUAGCGGUGAAAUGCGUAGAUAUUAGGAGGAACACCAGUGGCGAAGGCGGCUUGCUGGACGACAACUGACGCUGAGGCGCGAAAGCGUGGGGAGCAAACAGGAUUAGAUACCCUGGUAGUCCACGCUCUAAACGAUG